UACGUAGGGUCCGAGCGUUGUCCGGAAUUACUGGGCGUAAAGAGCUCGUAGGUGGUUUGUCGCGUUGUUCGUGAAAACUCACAACUCAAUUGUGGGCGUGCGGGCGAUACGGGCAGACUUGAGUACUGCAGGGGAGACUGGAAUUCCUGGUGUAGCGGUGAAAUGCGCAGAUAUCAGGAGGAACACCGGUGGCGAAGGCGGUUCUCUGGGCAUUACCUGACGCUGAGGAGCGAAAGUGUGGGGAGCGAACAGG
rnacentral:rRNA from 1 species